rnacentral:rRNA from 1 species
GACGAACGCUGGCGGCGUGCUUAACACAUGCAAGUCGAACGGAAAGGCCCUGCUUUUGUGGGGUGCUCGAGUGGCGAACGGGUGAGUAACACGUGAGUAACCUGCCCUUGACUUUGGGAUAACUUCAGGAAAUUGGGGCUAAUACCGGAUAGGAGCUCCUGCUGCAUGGUGGGGGUUGGAAAGUUUCGGCGGUUGGGGAUGGACUCGCGGCUUAUCAGCUUGUUGGUGGGGUAGUGGCUUACCAAGGCUUUGACGGGUAGCCGGCCUGAGAGGGUGACCGGCCACAUUGGGACUGAGAUACGGCCCAGACUCCUACGGGAGGUAGCAGUGGGGAAUAUUGCACAAUGGGCGGAAGCCUGAUGCAGCAACGCCGCGUGCGGGAUGACGGCCUUCGGGUUGUAAACCGCUUUCGCCUGUGACGAAGCGUGAGUGACGGUAAUGGGUAAAGAAGCACCGGCUAACUACGUG